rnacentral:rRNA from 1 species
GAAGCGACCUGGAAAGGUCCGUCGUAGAGGGUAACAACCCCGUAGUCGAAACUUCGUUCUCUCUUGAAUGUAUCCUGAGUACGGCGGAACACGUGAAAUUCCGUCGGAAUCUGGGAGGACCAUCUCCCAAGGCUAAAUACUCCCUAGUGAUCGAUAGUGAACCAGUACCGUGAGGGAAAGGUGAAAAGCACCCCGGAAGGGGAGUGAAAGAGAUCCUGAAACCGUGUGCCUACAAAUAGUCAGAGCCCGUUAACGGGUGAUGGCGUGCCUUUUGUAGAAUGAACCGGCGAGUUACGAUCCCGUGCGAGGUUAAGCUGAAGAGGCGGAGCCGCAGCGAAAGCGAGUCUGAAUAGGGCGUUUAGUACGUGGUCGUAGACCCGA